GCCGGUGCUUUUUGGGCCGCUUGUCCACCCCGAAGGCCUGCAGUGGAACUCCGUAGUGGCGUCGGCGGGUCUCAGGACGGAUCCAUGAGGCCACCAUCUGAGCCGCUUGAAGGUAAAACACUCCCCUGUCACAUAGUGUCGCGUAUAGACUCGAGCAAAGUCGGUCCACGGCUUCCAGGUGUUGCGAGUGUGGGUAGCUGUCUGUGUGCUCC